UUCCAAGUAAAUGAAUGAGCGAUACACAGGGAUGGAGGAUAGAUGAUUAUCGACGGUACAUCCAUGGAUUAAUGCAUAAUACACAAUAACCCUUUCGUAGCACGUAAACAAAAUCAUGUAAGAAAGAAUUGCGAUACAUUUUCAAAGUUGUACGUUCGACGAUUUCUUCUUAUGUAUAAUUCAAUACCACCGUGAAACCAUUGGCAAAGGUUCAAUGAACGUUUUAUAGCGGUUACCAUAGCGCGAGUUAUAUAAAAUGUUAAACGUCGCCGUAAACUUAAACCCCCGUUAAAUUCGGAAUUUUCAUUAAUUCCGAUCUAAAAUCCUUUUCCUAUUAUUAUCGCGGUAAAAAGUUUAAUCGGUAAAUAAUGUAAGAGUAAGUUAGGGUUGUUUUUACUUUCUCUUUUUUGUUUCGACGAGUAAACAAGUCCUUAUCUACCCCAAGUUCUCUUGUUUUUCACAUUUAUUUUUCUACCAUCGGCGUUUCGUCCAAUCGGGAAGAGAAAUCUUUGGAGAAAACACGGGAAAGAGGGGGAUGAUGAAUCGGAUAAGAAUCGAUUCGUCGAAGCUAUCGACCGAGUUGUGACAUAUUCGCGUGGUUUUAGAUGACACAAAUUCCUGUUAGUUGAUUCAUACCUCGCAUGGCCGAGGGUUGUUCGAGUGAUAUAGCUGGCACACACGAACGCGAGCAGAGAGUUAUAAUAGACGAUUCUUGGGAUUGCCAGGACUUCGACAAAGGUUCCGCUUAAUAUUGCAUUUCAAUGGAAAAUGCCAGAGAAAUGCGAGAAAGUACAACAAAUUAAUAAUUCAUCAGGGAACGCGUUGUUUUUUCUUCCCUUUCUUCGAUCGCGUUCAAUUCCGCGAAUCGUAAUCAUCCGUAAAUAAUUACGAAUAAACGGAAUCGCCCAAAAUUCUAACGUUAUUUAUAAAAAAGAAAUUUAUCGUCGCGAACGAGGAAAAUGACAAAGAAGGUAAGUCGAAAGGAAAAAGGAAAAAGGUCACGUGACAUUAACUGGAGAACCGGAAGUAAGUUAAAAACUCGGUGGACACGCAAGAAAAUGGAAGAGAAAGAUAGAACAUAGUUGGGGAAAGGCGUGUAAAAAAGCAAAAGAAAGAAAUAAAAAAUGCAUCGUGAUCCGCCUGCACCGACCGCAAGGCGCCAGUAGUAAGAGCACGCGAUGGUACGGCACGAUGACGUCACCAGGAGGAACCGAAUAAACUCGAACUAAACCGAGAUCGACCGAAAGCACCCGUUUCUACACGGUCGCCGUUCAGUCUGUGCCCGACCGUAGUACGGUCACUGACCACUAUUUUCUUCUAUGCACAUUUUUUCCGAUUCCUUAUUUUGGUCCUAGCAUUUUUUUUUUUUAUACUCCCACCCCUUUUCCCACGAGAUACUUCCAAGAGAAACUCGAAUCGAUUUUAGUGAAACGUGUUUAAUUCGAUUAGUGUAGUGGGUAGUGGGUAAUGGGUAGUGGGUAGUGGGUAGUGGUGGUGGUAAAACGAAGAGGGGUGCCGAACGAGGUGCGGGAACGAUACCGAAAACUACAUUUCUCCUAUUUCUUUAAGGACAACUUUCUUUUCCUCCUCCUCCCCCGACUCGUCGUCGUCGUCGUCGUCGUCGUCGUCGUGGCUGUCGCCGUUUUCUUUUUUUUUUUCGGAUCAACUUUAUUUCGACACAUUUGGGGGAGGAAAGUAUAAGACCAAGUAGACUUUAUAAAUGAAUAACAAUCCCAGUGGCGUGGAAGUCGAGCUGGUGUCACGACUACCGUUGCAUGCUGAUCUUCGUGGUAGCUGACUCUAGAAACUUGAUAUCGAUGGUUCAACGCUACUGCAGCGCCAAGAAAAAAGGCUAAAAAGGCCAAGUGAACAAAAAAAAAUAAGGAUUGAUCUUACCGUAAGGAAGCAAAGGGUUUGGUGUAAAAUUUCAUCCUAGCAACCCGUUAACGAUAUCACCCUACCUCUUCUUCGUGAAAAGAAUAAUUAAGAAACCCAAUAGCCUUUACAAUUUUACAUUUGCGUUCCGGCUUGCAUCCGAAUUGCAUCCGGAUUGCGUUUGUUUACGCAAUUGAGAAAUAUAAUUAACAAGAUCCGUGGUCUUACCGUUUUACAUUUGAGUUAAACACUUUUUAACAUUUCAGAUCGAUAUAUUAGCUCGGGAGUGUUAAGAAAAACAACGACGC
rnacentral:lncRNA from 1 species